rnacentral:rRNA from 1 species
UACGUAGGUGACAAGCGUUAUCCGGAAUUACUGGGCGUAAAGCGCACGCAAGCGGUCUGACAAGUCUGGCGUGAAAUCCCCUGGCUUAACCAGGGGCGGUCGCUGGAAACGGUCAGGCUUGAGGCGAUGAGAGGGGUGCAGAAUUCCCGGUGUAGUGGUGGAAUGCGUAGAGAUCGGGAGGAAUACCAGUGGCGAAAGCGGCACCCUGGCGUCGUACUGACGCACAUGUGCGAAAGCGUGGGGAGCGAACGGG